rnacentral:rRNA from 1 species
CAUGCAAGUCGCAGGGUAACAUGAGGAAAGCUUGCUUUCCUUGAUGACGACUGGCGCACGGGUGAGUAACGCGUAUCCAACCUUCCCAUAACUACGGGAUAACCCGUUGAAAGACGGCCUAAUACCGUAUGAUAUCGUUUGCUGACAUCAAAUAACGAUUAAAGGUUUAGCGGUUAUGGAUGGGGAUGCGUCUGAUUAGCUUGUUGGCGGGGUAACGGCCCACCAAGGCUACGAUCAGUAGGGGUUCUGAGAGGAAGGUCCCCCACAUUGGAGCUGAGACACGGUCCAAACUCCUACGGGAGGCAGCAGUGAGGAAUAUUGGUCAAUGGGCGAGAGCCUGAACCAGCCAAGUAGCGUGCAGGAUGACGGCCCUAUGGGUUGUAAACUGCUUUUAUGUGGGGAUAAAGUGCGUGACGUGUCAUGCAUUGCAGGUACCACAUGAAUAAGGACCGGCUAAUUCCGUGCCAGCAGCCGCGGUAAUACGGAAGGUCCGGGCGUUAUCCGGAUUUAUUGGGUUUAAAGGGAGCGUAGGCUGUCUAUUAAGCGUGUUGUGAAAUUUACCGGCUCAACCGGUAGCUUGCAGCGCGAACUGGUCGACUUGAGUAUGCAGGAAGUAGGCGGAAUUCAUGGUGUAGCGGUGAAAUGCUUAGAUAUCAUGACGAACUCCGAUUGCGCAGGCAGCUUACUGUAGCAUAACUGACGCUGAUGUUCGAAAGUGCGGGUAUCAAACAGGAUUAGAUACCCUGGUAGUCCGCACGGUAAACGAUGGAUGCUCGCUAUUCGUCCUAUUUGGAUGAGUGGCCAAGUGAAAACAUUAAGCAUCCCACCUGGGGAGUACGCCGGCAACGGUGAAACUCAAAGGAAUUGACGGGGGCCCGCACAAGCGGAGGAACAUGUGG